rnacentral:rRNA from 1 species
CCUGGCUCAGGAUGAACGCUAGCGACAGGCCUAACACAUGCAAGUCAGGGGCAGCACAAGGAGCAAUCUGAGGUGGCGACCGGCGCACGGGUGAGUAACACGUAUGCAACCUGCCUGUAAGCGGGGAAUAACCCGUUGAAAGACGGACUAAUACCGCAUAAUACUAAAUUACUGCAUGGUAAUUUAUUUAAACAUUUAUGGCUUACAGAUGGGCAUGCGCAUGAUUAGCUAGUUGGAGAGGUAACGGCUCCCCAAGGCAACGAUCAUUAGGGGUUCUGAGAGGAAGGUCCCCCACACUGGUACUGAGACACGGACCAGACUCCUACGGGAGGCAGUAGUGAGGAAUAUUGGUCAAUGGACGAGAGUCUGAACCAGCCAAGUCGCGUGCAGGAAGAAUGUCCCUAUGGAUUGUAAACUGCUUUUGCAGGGGAAUAAAGUGCAUCACGUGUGAUGUUUUGUAUGUACUCUGCGAAUAAGGAUCGGCUAACUCCGUGCCAGCCGCCGC